CCUACGGGGGACAGCAGUGAGGAAUAUUGGUCAAUGGACGAGAGUCUGAACCAGCCAAGUAGCGUGAAGGAUGACUGCCCUAUGGGUUGUAAACUUCUUUUAUAUGGGAAUAAAAUGUUCCACGUGUGGGAUUUUGUAUGUACCAUAUGAAUAAGGAUCGGCUAACUCCGUGCCAGCAGCCGCGGUAAUACGGAGGAUCCGAGCGUUAUCCGGAUUUAUUGGGUUUAAAGGGAGCGUAGGUGGAUUGUUAAGUCAGUUGUGAAAGUUUGCGGCUCAACCGUAAAAUUGCAGUUGAAACUGGCAGGCUUGAGUAUAGUAGAGGUGGGCGGAAUUCGUGGUGUAGCGGUGAAAUGCUUAGAUAUCACGAAGAACUCCGAUUGCGAAGGCAGCUCACUGGACUGCAACUGACACUGAGGCUCGAAAGUGUGGGUAUCAAACAGGAUUAGAUACCCGGGUAGUC
rnacentral:rRNA from 1 species